GGGGGCGCUGUGCGCCAGGAAU
rnacentral:rRNA from 1 species